AUUUAAAUAGUUUUAAAAAAAAUUUAAUAUUGAAGAUAUUAAGAUAAUUAAUAAAUAUAAUUUUUAAAUA
rnacentral:tRNA from 1 species